rnacentral:rRNA from 1 species
GUGUCAGCAGCCGCGGUAAUACCGGCAGCCCAAGUGAUGGCCGAUCUUAAUGGGCCUAAAGCGUCUGUAGCUGGCCACGCAAGUCCAUCGGGAAAUCCACGUGCCCAACAGGUGGGCGCCCGGUAGAAACUGCGUGGCUUGGGACCGGAAGGCGCGACGGGUACCUCCGGGGUAGGAGUGAAAUGCCGUAAUCCUGGACGGACCGCCGAUGGCGAAAGCACGUCGCGAGAACGGAUCCGACAGUGAGGGACGAAAGCCAGGGUCUCGAACCGGAUUAGAAACCCCAGUAGUCC